UAAUAACUGUGGUCAAAAAGAUGAUGGUGGUGACUAUACAGGAGCCAAAACCUUGGCUUUGCUGAGUUGUUCCUUGGGAGAUAUAUUCAACAACUGCAGUGUUCUUGGUGAUGUUUUAAAAAGAAAUGGGAUGAACAGAGUUCCCAGUGGAGCUGAGGGAGGAGCUGGAUUUGCCCUGGAAUGCUAUCCACCAGGACAAUUCCCAUAAUCUAGAGUGUACCAUACAGGAAGCAUGGCUGAGUCACAGACAUGGCCAUCAGCAAUCUCCAGGACUCAUUCGAAGACUUGGGGAUCUUCCUGACCCAGGGAUCAGAUCCACAUCUGCACUGGCAGCGGAUUCUUCACUGCUGAGUCACCAGGGAACACUUACCCAGCUACUGGCAAUCAAUCUGCUCCAGAAACCAUUAUAUACAUUUACAAUGGUAUUUUAAACCCAAAUCUGUUGAUCAGCCAAGCUACUUUCAAGAGUUUUCUUUCAUUAAAUCUCCUAGAAGGACAUCUUCAUCGCAUGUGUUAAAGAUGUUACAUUAUUCUGUUUUUCCAAAAUAAAAGGAAACCCUCCAAA
ensembl:lncRNA